rnacentral:misc_RNA from 1 species
GAACGCACAUUGCGCCCUCUGGUAUUCCGGGGGGCAUGCCUGUUCGAGCGUCAUUUCAACACUCAGGUCUUAGUCGCCUGGCGUUGGGGCGCUGCGGCACGGCCCGCAGGCCCCCAAAUAUAGCGGCGGACCCGCCGCGGCCCUGAGCGCAGUAGUUGACAAAGCCUCGCUCCGGCGGCCGCGGCGCGGCCCUGCCCCCGCCCAACAGCGCGAAACGCGCGAGCAAAGUUGACCUCGGAUCAGGUAGGACUACCCGCUGAACUUAAG